UGCAGACUGUUGAUCUAAAUGUGUUUAACAUUAAUAUUAAAUAUCAUUGUUAGUCAGAAAAAAUGCAACAAAAAUUGAGAGACUGAAGACGAAACACUUUGGAAACGGAAAAUAGCCCAAUUCUAAAAUAAAUCCGAAAUGGAGAACUUCAAAUUAAAUUUUGCUUAAUUCUACAUUCUGAUAACAUUUUGUCUUCAGUAAGAUUGACUCUCGAAAACUUUCCUACAAGCAGGUGGUGUCAUAUUUUCUGGCUUAAGGCAAAGAAAAUUUGCGUAAAUGAAAAUUUUGCCUGUGAUGAAGCACACCCCAAUUUGCAAGAGCUGUACAUUGAAAACCUGGACAUCCUGCAUCCUUCUCAGAAUUAAUUUGCUGUAAGUUACUCAAUGUCGCUCCAAUUUUAAGGAUAAGGAUGGAACCUUAACAUAUGCCCAGUAAGACAGUUACCAUAAUUUAGUUCCUAGCUGUUUUUUUUUCCUGCAAAGAUAACCAUAACUUUGCAAAUUUUUAAAUUUGAGUCUUGUCAGAAGAAUUGACACUUACAGAUAGCUGCCAAGAUCAGUGCAAAAUUUCACAAGAAAAUAAUUUACUGGACAGGUGUCUUUCUUGUGUUUGCAAAUAAUGUGAAUUUUGAUUAAUAAACUCUUGAAAUGUAGUUGAAAAGUGAGUUUGUUGUUAAUCUACAGAGAAAACUACAUACGGUAGUAAAGACCUCUGAUUCCAAUCAUUGACCCAAUUAAUGUAAAAAUGUAAAAAAAAAA